ensembl:lincRNA uncharacterized LOC106005660
AAAGGCCCUGUCUGUGUAGACAUACGUUUCCUGUAACCCUGUAAGUGGCUGUCAGGUUUGGGGUUUAUACAAAGCUGUGGCUAGGUUCUAGUCAUACUUUACAUGAUUUAGAAAGACGGCAAACAUUGGAACUAGAAGCCUAUUGUUUUCUUAUUUUCUUGGGAAAUUGGUGAUGACAUCAAAGAUACUUUUUGCAAACCAUGAUGGGAGACCCUGUGGACAGCCACAGAAGGACAGUGUGUUCAUCCAGCAUGGAGGUUUUUGAUACAUGAAGCAUCAUUCUUCUUCACCUCCCUAACAGCCCGAGUUAAAGCUGCACCAGAACAUGGGUUCAUCGUUUUGGCUGAAGACAGCCCUCAUGACCUACUUUGCUUCUGAAGCUCUGACCUAGAAUAGACUUAGAAUGGGAUAAGGACAAUGGGCUGGAAGUGAUGGAGCUCAGGGUCAGUUGACCCAUGCAACUAGAGAAAGGACAAGCUCUAAUAUUAUGAAAAGCAUCUGUUUGUUGUGAUUCUAUGUGCCAAGCCUUAUGCUAGACACAGUCUUAGCCUCCCACAACAAGCUUGCAAGGGAGGCAAUUAAUGACCCACGGAUGUGGAGUGGUUUUAAGUAACAUGUUCUAGCUCAGAAGCUAGGAUAAGUUAGCCCCUAGGUCUCUGCCUUUUCCCUCUGUUAUACUGCCUUUCCUAGACUAGAAAUUAAAGCAGAUAUUUCAAUUCAGUUGCUUAAAUUCUCCUGUGUAACCCAGGAAAGCAAAAGGUAUUGCCUGGGAGAAAAAUAUCUAGUUGUAAAAAAAUAAAAAUCCUCAU